rnacentral:lncRNA from 13 species
UCACAAACCAAACCAAUAAAUCCAUUCUUUGCCCUCACCUGUCACAUUAACAUAUUUUUACACCUAGGGUGGAGGGGAAUGGAGGAGGAGGUAUAUUUAUAACAAUCCCUGGUCCAGCUAGCUCUAACAGCUCUCUCUACCGUGUUGGUGUUAUGAUGAGGGAAUUCUUAAGUGGGAGGGAAUGUGAGGUAUGCUGGGGCAGGACUUGGUUAUGGAUCCUAAGUUGUAUUUGUCUGUGAUGGGGACAACUCCAAACCUAAUACAAUAAAUCAAUACAGUAAUGAACAGCAAACUACAUAACAGAUUUACCACACUACCCAUCCCCACACAAUAUCACCCCCAUCUGCCCCUUGAACAACAGACUGCUCUCUUGUUCCUGUGCUCUGCAGAAGUCUGUUUUCUGAGGUUUAUCUCCCAGUCAGAUUUGGCUGGCACCAGAUAAUGAGCUUGUUGAUGGCUUUUGUCAUCAUCAUUCUAUAAAGAUGUUUAUAUUCCUCAUAACAAAAUACCCAGCUGCAGUACCUACAACAGGCUUACAUGGAGGCACUAAAAAAGCAAAUACAAAAUUAUUUCUGACAAAGGAAAUGACCCAUAACCUAACUAUUAAGAAUUAUCACGGGAAAUGAAGAAAUGAAACAUGUUCAACCCCCCCCUCUUAUUUCCAUUUCUGAUUCUACAUUUGUAACGACUGGGCAGAUACCUGUCCUGGUCAGAGUUAUUGGGGAGGAGCGGGAAAUUAAUAUUUGUAGAAAGAUUACAGACAGAGAGAGGCAGGUGGGAAAAGGAGCAAGUGACUAUUACGGGAAAUUAUAAUGAACUAGGUUUAGGGCAUUGCAAUGUGUAUCAAACAAACCGAGCCUUUGUUCUUCUUCGUCCAAGUUUAACUUUGAUGUCCUGCACGAUAAGUACUGGACUGCAGACCAAACUGUACACAGGACUCAUACAGGUGGUCGAGGCGGGCUAGGAAGCAGAGACAGUGGAUCAGAGAAAGUGGUGAGCAGAUACACUCUGUCUGCAUCAUUGAAGACUUGGGACCAUUUGGCUACUGCGGAGAUCGGCAGACAAAGAUAUUUCUGUCACGAUCGUUGGAAGCAUACUCGGACCAACGUGCAGCGUGAUCUGGGUUCCACAUCUUUUUUAUUUAAAGUAAGUGAACCACACAACAAAUCAAUAAAGAAUAAACAAAACGUGACGACAAUGGAGUGCUAACAUGCAACUACACAUAAACAAUAUCCCACAAACACAGGUGGGAAAAAUGCUACUUAAAUAUGAUCCCCAGUUAGAGACAACGAUUAUCAACAAUGAUUUUAAUUGGGAGUCAUACAAAUCACCAACAUAGAAAGACUAAACUAGAACCCCACAUAGAAAAUAUAAACUAGAAUACCCCCCCAGUCACGCCCUGACCUACUAUACCAUAGAGAAACAAAGGCUCUCUAUGGUCAGAGCGUGACAAUUUCAGAUGAUCCUGGAUUUAAACCUGGAGAUUUUAUUUUAUUUCUGGAAGGAAAAUCGUCAUAUAUCAAUCGCAGCUCUAAUCGUAACCCUGUUGAAGACACAACAGAAGUUGCCAUGCAGACGGUAUAUGAUUAUGUCAUGUAGUUUGUCAGGGAAGAGGCUCCUGUGUUUCCAGUAGUGUAUGUUUGAAGUUCUCAGGGGAUUAUAAAGUAUUUGAAGUGGGGUUUUAAUCAUUACAUAGCUAUACUGAUUCCUUCUGUUGGGGAUGUCUCUUUUGGGUGGUCUGUCUCCUUCCCAGCCGUACUGUAUGGAGAGGUCUAUUUGAUCAGGGAAAAUCUAGACAGGUUAUUGGUCAUAGUUUUACUUACAGUACAAAGAGUCAAAGUGCAUUAAGUACAAACAGGUUAACAAUGACAUACAAUCUGUAGGCUACUAGUUUGUUCAAGGACUCACAGCAGUAUAUUUGGUUUAGUGAUAGAUAGCAGGUCUCAGGUCAGCUCUGGAAAGGGGUUUAAAUGUCCUGAGGGUCAUCCAGAGACUAAACACUGAUCCAAAUCACUUACCAUUUUACUCCUUUACUGUUAAUGUUUCAUUGACGUUGUUUCAGCGUUGAAUUUGGACCAUGUUGUCUGUGAAGGUUGCCACGCUGAGUCACGUGCCUUUAUAAAGAGAGAGACUCUUCCAUCAUGACCUAAAGUGAGUGAGCAGCAACCUGAUGUUGCCAAGCUCUGUCGUACUUGGCCUGCUGUCACUCCUUUUGCCUCUGCCUGUCCUUUUACUUUUGAUCUGAUGGCCGUAUACAGAAUGGAUCAUCUUUGACAUUUAUCGAGAUGGUCAGUUAAUAAGAAAUAAGUCCGACUGACAUAAUUAGUUAUUUUAGGUGUUAACCUUUCUUUGAAUUAUGUCGCAGUGAACAUUGACUCAGGACAGUUAAAGUGGCAAAAUGUAACUUUUUGGGCGACCUGACCAAAUUCACACUGAAAUGUGAGUUAUAGGUCUGUCAUUCUACUUGAAAGCAAGUAUUUGAAGCAGUAGAUCUGUUCUAUGUGCGCUAUGUCUACGCUUGUUCUUAAGUUUAGUUUUUGCAUUUUUUACUUUUNNNNNNNNNNAGGUCUCUCCAUCUGACAGGAUGUGAGACAGUGAGAGAGUGAUUGAGAGUCAGGAGAGCUUUUGUAUUCUCUUCCAACAAGGGGAAUUAGGUGCUCCCCGCAGCCUGGCAACCAUCACCUCUCUGUGGGCGUAACAACACCCCGCUGCCCCUAGAGUAACAGGGCCCUGUGGAGCUGCUGAGAGAUGCAGUGUCUCUACACUGACCACUGAUGUGAAACAGAGGCGUUUCUCUGUUUAGUUGAAAACAGCCCAGCAGGAAACUGCGCACACACACAC